rnacentral:ncRNA from 2 species
UAUAUGGUGUGUCCCGUUGGUGUCCGGAGAGGCGCGACUGCCCGUCGGACUUAAUAGGGAAUCCGGUGCGAAUCCGGAACUGCCCCGCAGCGGUAAAUGGAAACGAUCCCGUUCAAUGCACUGGUCCUUCAGGGGCUGGGAAGCGACGGGUAGGCGGACCGAAAGGCCCUUGUCCAUGAGUCCGAAGACCUGCCAGCAAUCGGUGCCCGGG